rnacentral:misc_RNA from 1 species
UACGAAAGCCCCAAGCGUUAUCCGGAAUCACUGGGCGUAAAGGGUGCGUAGGUGGUCAUAUUAGUCGUGUGUUAAAGACCGAGGCUUAACUUCGGGAAGGCACACGAAACGGUAUGACUUGAGUGCGAAAGAGGCAUAUGGAACUCUCGGUGUAGGGGUGAAAUCCGUUGAUAUCGAGGGGAACACCAAAAGCGAAGGCAAUAUGCUGGUUCGACACUGACACUCAUGCACGAAACCCUGGGUAGCGAAUGGG